rnacentral:hammerhead_ribozyme from 1 species
UCACCGAUGAAGAGUCCCAAAACAGAACGAAACGGUCGUCCAGUGU